rnacentral:tRNA from 1 species
GCCUGGCUGGCUCAGUCGGAAGAGCGUGGGACUUCUGAUCUCAGGGUCGUGAGGUCGGGUCCCACACUGGGUG